rnacentral:rRNA from 1 species
UACGGGGGGGGCAAGCGUUGUUCGGAAUUACUGGGCGUAAAGGGUUCGUAGGCGGAUCUUUAAGUCAGGGGUGAAAUCCCAAGGCUCAACCUUGGAACUGCCUUUGAUACUGGGGAUCUCGAGUCCGGAAGAGGUGAGUGGAACUGCGAGUGUAGAGGUGAAAUUCGUAGAUAUUCGCAAGAACACCAGUGGCGAAGGCGGCUCACUGGUCCGGUACUGACGCUGAGGUGCGAAAGCGUGGGGAGCAAACAGG